AACAAUAUCGAUACGCUCACCUGCUCAGACGGUGUUAGCGAAGACAGUUGAUAUUCUCCAGAUAUCCAGCUCUUCGUUGUCUUCAAGCGUUUUCUCGUCGUCGUGGCUCUCUUGUAACCCAGCAGGAGUGGCAGUAUCACUGAGCGCUUCGGCAAGACAUAUACCGGAGCGACUGGAGCCUUUUACCUUUACAAGAAGGAUGUCCAGCGAGUGGGAAAACAACGUUGAGUAGCUGUGUAUCGGUGGCAGUAUCGACUUCGGCAGGACAUAUACCGCAGCUGUUACCUUUGGAAGCUGGUGCGGGCGCAGGUUGAUAGCAAUCGGUGUUGGCAGUGUAUGGUAUCGGAUGAAUCUGCGAGGAUUUGAGACUUCUUGAGGACGGCAGUAU
rnacentral:lncRNA from 1 species